AAGCUGCAAACAUUCCAAUCAAACGCAUCUAAAAAAGAUAAGUGGCCAGCAAGAAGUGCAUCUCCAAAACAAAAUUAUUUCUUAUCAUGAUUGGGUCUGAUGGCAUCUAUCCAAAAAAAAUGCACAUGAAAUCAACCAGGGAAACAUAAGAGAUACAGGCUACAGCUCAAGUACAUCCAACAAAAAUCGAGGUGGAUUUAAGCCCGGAAAAAAUCCAACAAAAAUGCACCAGUGCCGUUUUACAUAUUAUUAUAUGACCCCAUAUAUCCUACCAGGCUACCACACAUAGUUCCUGUUAGGGAUGGAUUUCUUGGUGGUAGAACAGAACAUUCAACAAUUUAUGUCAACGUUGUAUUAUAAAGCAGAUAUGGUCUUGCAAUAAGUCCCACUAAUUGGGUAAUUCGCGCAGGUACAGAAUUAUCAAAACGUAUCUGACGCAAAUCAAGCAUAAACAUCAAUACACCUCCCAACUUGCAAAAUUAAAUUGUGUUAACUCAUAGACAGAAGCCAAUUAUAAAAUCGAUCAUUCUAAGCAGCAGGAAAUCGAAAUGCCUCUUUUACGGACACUAACUAAAAUAGCGGGAUCAUAGCCCAUGAUGUAUGAACAUAUUAGAUCAAAACAAAACAGGUAACGUCUAUUAACACUAAAAAUUCCCCAAAUCUGACGCCUGAAUUCGCCCUAAAAAAAUCCAGCAUCUUCGCGUCGAGGCAAUAACGAAUGAACCUAACCUACCACCACUUUCCACUCCCCCAGACCCUCGACACCACCACCCAAUCGGACAAAACGAUCUCCAAAUCAACGACAGGACCACCCCCCAAUACCUACGAGAUCCACUUCGCUCGUGGCGAGAUCACGAAACGCGUGAGGAACUCCCACCACAGAAGGAUCUCUCGUGCUUCAGACGCGGAAAACGGUCGGAAACGGUCGGAAAAACCCUCUACCAUUUCCAUUUUCAUUUUAUUUUCUCGAAAAUGGAAUCGGAACGGUAUACUUGGAAACGGUAACGAUAUCGGUUAUAUCGGUAUCUUGGAAACGGAACCGUCGGAACGGGAAUAUACCGAUAUCGGACGGAAGUCGAAAAUUCAUGUCGGAAACAGCGAACUGUGGUAUCAUCCCGCAUUUAACUAUGUAUGAAGAUGACCUUAUAAUUUCACCCUUGCAUCAUUACGCUGCCACACAACACCGUUAUAUGAUGAUUAAUAAGUUGACAAUAAGAUUGAUAAAUAAUAUAAAUAAAGUUCAAUGAUACUUCAACAUCAAUGUGGCUAAAGCAUACAAUGUGGCUUACAUGAUAGGAUUACAGCAUAACUAAUAUUGUCCGACUUUUUUUAGGAUAUAGAUUUGAAGUCUUCGAGAACACCAAGCUCACAAGCUGGCAUGGCUUCAGCUGAUCAGCUCCUUGUCAAACAUCAUUCAUUAUUUCAUCAUCAAUUGACAUAGCUAUAUCGUCGUCCUACAGUGGCACAUUGCAUAAGAACUUUUAUGUUGACACUGUAUAACUACUGUUGUAAUUAAGUUUCAUGCUAAACUAGACUUUUUGGUAUUUCCAGGUCGAUCACAGAGAGGAGUCAAGAUGGUGGGGCCCGCCAGUGGAUCCCACCGUCUUUCUUUUCCUCUCUUUCUUUUAUUUUUUCUCUCUCUCUUAUCCUUCCCUUCUCUCGGUUCCUUUUCCUGCUCUCUCAAUUUCUUCUCUGUUUUCUCUCUCGUUCUCUUCUCUGCCUUUGGCUCCUUCACGCGCGCCCGAGAGGAGAGAGGCGCCGGAGAUGGCGGCCUGGCGCAGGGCGGCGGUGGGGGAAGGAGAGAGGAGAAAGGGGCGGCAUCGGUGGGGAGGAGGAGGCUGGGGCGGUGCGGCGGCGCUCGGCGCUUGGCUCGGUGGCACGGAAGCCGGCGGUGGAGCAUGGGGGAGGGAAGGUGGCCGGCUGCGACGGAGGCCGUCGGGGCGAAGGAGGUUGCGGCCAGCGUCGGCGACCUGGUGGCGGCGCCCAACAUGGCGCGGCGGUGCCCCAGCGCCGAUGAAGACGACGAUGCGGUCAGGCCUAGUUGGCUUCUUUAUUCAGAAUGGGCUGCUCCUUAAUGCCUAAUGGGCUCCUCCUCCUGCUAGCCAGGCCCAGCCGACUUCCUUCUUCGGAAUUUUGUCGGAAAUUUGACGGAAAUUACCGAUAAAAAACGGUUACCGACAAAACGGUCGGAAAAAACCCCAUAUCAUUUCCGCUACCAUUUCCGAAAGAGAUUACCGUUUCCAUUUCCGAUACCGACAAUUACCGAUACCGAUUGAAACGGUCGGUGCAAACCGGAAACGGUAGCCGGAAUUCUCGGAAAUUUCCGUACCGUUUUCACCCCUACUCAUAGACAGAAGCCAAUUAUAAAAUCGAUCAUUCUAAGCAGCAGGAAAUCGAAAUGCCUCUUUUACGGACACUAACUAAAAUAGCGGGAUCAUAGCCCAUGAUGUAUGAACAUAUUAGAUCAAAACAAAACAGGUAACGUCUAUUAACACUAAAAAUUCCCCAAAUCUGACGCCUGAAUUCGCCCUAAAAAAAUCCAGCAUCUUCGCGUCGAGGCAAUAACGAAUGAACCUAACCUACCACCACUUUCCACUCCCCCAGACCCUCGACACCACCACCCAAUCGGACAAAACGAUCUCCAAAUCAACGACAGGACCACCCCCCAAUACCUACGAGAUCCACUUCGCUCGUGGCGAGAUCACGAAACGCGUGAGGAACUCCCACCACAGAAGGAUCUCUCGUGCUUCAGACGCGGAAAAGCCAGAUCGAUCGGGGUAAGAGAAGGGAAGGGGAAGGUCACCU
rnacentral:lncRNA from 1 species